UGUGAAUGAGUCACUGCAAACGAUUCUGUUUCCUAAUGGUCUUGAAACUUUUGAAAUGGAGAAUUCAGCAGUUUUUAAUAAGGAUAAGGGGUGGGGGGUGUUUGCUCACCUUGUAAAAACCAAUAGGAAGACAGAAACCAUUUCUGUCAAGUUCAGAAACAAACAUCGCUGGUUAUUGCCUCGAUUGAUCCAAACUGUACAAUCUGGACUCAGCAGAUACUAAGGAUGAUUUAUUUCAAGGAUUAUCGGAACAGAAUUGCACCUAUGGGAGCAUUUGAAGGAGUUUAUUUCUUUGAGUAUACCUCAAUAGCCUGGCUCAAGUGCCCAUCUCCUCGUCUCUUCUCAGUCCACCUUCCCAUUAUUUAGCUCCAAAUGGUCUGAAGAACAAAAAAGCUAAAGUAUGUCGCAGAAAUUGCUUAAAGACUUUUCCCCAGACAAGUCUUUGUCUCUGGCCUAAUUCAUUCAUAUCCUUUCAUAUGUUUUGUUUAUUAAUUUUAUAGUGAUGAUUUUGCUUUAAAGAUUUAAAACCCAUAUAUGGAAUUGUACAUACAUUUAUACAUUAGUCACCACAUAUGCCGUUUUUCAGUGCAAUCAUAUAAAUGAAUAAUGUUCACAUCAGUACAGAGAACUUCAUUCUUGUUAGGGCUUCAUCCAAUUUAAUUGUGAGCCAUAUGUAAGAUAGUCAUUUAUAUGUUACAUUUUGACAAUCAUUCAUAGACAUAAUAUUGAUGUAUAUGUUAUAGUGUAACAGGCAUACUUAUAUAUCUCUGUGCUUUUGUUUGUGUGAAAUGUUUCCCUAAAAGUUGAAUUUCAGGUGAAACUAUACAAAUACUUUAAAUCAUCUAGGGGGUUUGUGCAUGUGUUUUGAUCAUGCAUCAACUUACAUGUCUUCAACUAGCAUAGAAGAAUGCUUCUUUCCUCAUGAAAACAGUUCUUCUCAGUGAUUGGAAUGAUGGAUUUUGUUAAUGUACUAAGUAAAAAGAUUUCAUUCUGGAA